GCUGGACCGCUUCGAGAAAACCAACGAGAUGCUUCUGAACUUCAACAAUCUGUCCAGCGUGCGGCUGCAGCAGAUGAGCGAGCGCUUCAUGCACCACACCCGCACCUUGGUGGACAUGAAACGGGACCUGGACAGCAUCUUCCGCAGGAUCAGCAUGGUCCUUCAGGUGUACUCCACAGCCUCACCCACCACUGUGGCAGACACACCAGCAGCCAGCUGCCCAGACCAGAACAGCCAAGACCACGGGAUCCAGAUCACACGUGUGCCCUAUCCUCUAGCCCAAGGCUGUGUGGCCUGGGGACCUAAGGGAACAAAGUAAACUCUACCCAGAAGUCUUGAGAUGCUCUAUACCAGUCUAUUUAAUGUUUUUAUUGGUGCUGUUUUGCUUUGUUUUUGAGGCAAGGUCUCAAUUGCUGUCCUGAAACUCACAAAGAUCCACCUGCCUCUGCCUCCCUGGUACCAAGGUGCUCUGCUGCCCUUGUCUGCUAGUUUUUCUAGCCCCGAAUGCCAGGCUGACUCGACAUGUAGUUUGGGGAAUAGGUAGCUCUUUGAGCCCCAAGAGUAAAUACAGCAGCAUGUGUCCUAGAUCCCCAGAAAGGAGACAAGAGUCCAGUGUGUCAAGUGCUGAGCCUCACAAGUGCUGAGUCAUUGUGUGACUGCCACACUGGCUGCUGUCAGUGUAUGGGCUGACUCUCUGAAGACCCUUCUUUAGCCCGUCAGGCCUGGAGUGCAGGACUUCAGGGCAGAGCAACCAGAAGCCAGUUCAUAAGGACACUGAAGGGGAAGCUGGCCCGGCAGCACCCAGAGGCCUUCAGCCACAUCCCAGAGGGUUCACUCCUAGAGGACGAAGAUGAAGACCCUGUUCCACCCAGUAUCACCACAACCAUCGCCACCUCAGAGCAGAGCACAGGGUCCUGUGACACCAGCCCUGACACUGCCUCUCCAUCCUUCAGUCCUGGCUUUGAGGACCUAUCACACAUUCGACCUGGCUCUCCUGCCAUCAAUGGCCACAGCCAAACAGAUGAUGAGGAAGAAACACGUGAAGAAUAACCUCUCUCCCAACCUCCCAGAAAGGCCCAGGGCAGCAGUGGUUCUCCUAGGGUCACAGUCAGUCAGCUUUGCUGCUCCUUUCUUUUGUAGGCAGGGUUCCUAAUUCCUGCCACUCCCCGUAAGAGCAGGACUUCCUAUGCCAGCAUGUAUGUCUAGCUGGGGCAGUGGGGCUGGGUAGAGGUAACCUUGAAAUCAGCCUGGGCCAGCUUUGAACAGUGCUUCUAAGGUCUCCAGAGACCAAAGCCAGAUUGUCAUCCCCCACACCCUGGGUGGGCACAGGAGGGCUGAGCUUGUUCCUACCCACUGGCAGCUGCUGAUUCAACUAUGUCUCCUUUCCCUCUGUGGAGUACUUUUUUCCUGUUGUGUUGAAUUCUGGAGGAAGAGGCAGCCUUGACUGUGAGGAGCUGUGUUUCUCCAAGGUCCAUCAGGUUAUCUCCAGGAGCUGGCCAGUCACCUUAGAAAACAGCUGAAUGGAAUAUUUUUAUACCUGAUGUUUACAGAUGUUGGGAAGUUAUCAAUAAAGACUGUUGUUAAAAGGG
rnacentral:lncRNA from 1 species